AUGGCCAAACCAUAUUCAAACACCGGUUCCGUACGAUCAACGAAGUUAAGCAACGUCGAGCCUGAUCAGUACCUAGAUGGGUGAGUGCUUUGGAAUACCAUGUGUUGUAAG